UCAAAUACAUUCAAUUUAAUAUUUUUUAAUUUCUUUUAAAACAAAUUUAGUAUAGUUUUCAAGUCCAAAUAUUAUUAUUAUUAUUUUUUCAAAUAUCUCCAUCCUAAUGAAUAUACACGUUUUAAGGUUUCAAAACUAAUUUGAUAAAUAAGGUCCCUCUCCAAGCACCUGAGAGUUUCUUUUACAGAAAAGGCUUUCCAAUCUUUCUUCUCACACAUGCAAACUCAAUGCCCUUCUCUUCUACUUUGAGACUUGGGAGAAUCAGUACCUGGAGAUGUUCUACUGCAGAGAGCUGUUCAUAAUUAAAGACCAAAUGGGAAAACCACUGGCCAGAAAGUGCGCUCAAGAAGUCGGGUUUGGCUUACUGGUCUCUUUUAUUUUGUGCCUUGUAUUGCAUAGCUUAGUUUAUUCAAGUUUACUGGGUGUUAACAAUGGGGUCAAUCUUCUGGUAAACAAACAAGUUCACCCGAUUCGUAUUGUGAAGAUUAACCGCACGGAACAUCCAUGCUCUGAUCGUUACAUUUACAUCCAUGAAGGUCUUCCUAGCAGAUUCAACUAUGACUUCCUCAACAACUGUGAGUCUCUUACUGCAGGGGCUAUGACUGUUAGCAACAUUUCAAAUAUGUGUCCUUACUUUGUUAAUUUGGGUCUUGGUCCAGUAAUUGAAAGCUCCGAAGGGGUUUUAGCCAAUGAGAGUUGGUUUUCCACAAACCAGUUCUUGUUAGAAGUCAUAUUCCACAACAGGAUGAGGCAGUAUGAGUGUUUGACAGAAAACUCCACUCUGGCUUCAGCCAUUUAUGUCCCAUUCUAUGCUGGCAUAGAUGCCAGUGUCCAUCUGCGGGAUCCUAACCUCACAGCCAGAGACUCUUCGGCGAAAGAUCUUGUUCGAUGGCUUUCGAGCAAACCCGAAUGGAAGAAAAUGUGGGGAAGUGACCAUUUCUUUGUUGCUGGGAGGGUUUCCUGGGACUUCAGGAGGCGAAGAGACAAUAGUUCUAAUUGGGGUAGUAAACUCAGGUUCUUGCCUGAGUCUAUGAACAUGAGCAUGUUAUCAAUUGAAGGAAGCGCAUGGAAAAAUGACCUUGCUAUACCAUACCCUACAAGCUUUCAUCCUAAAGAGGACAGUGAGGUGGUUCAGUGGCAGAACAGAGUUAGAAAACAAGAAAGGCCUCACUUGUUUGCUUUUGUUGGUGCACCGAGGGCUCGCCAGAAAAAUUCUAUCCGGGGCAAACUUAUUGAUCAGUGCCAAGCUUCAACUAAUUGCAAGUUUCUACAUUGCCGUAAAAACAAUUGUGACAACCCGGUUACUAUUAUGAAGGUGUUUCAGAGCUCAGUUUAUUGCUUGCAGCCUCCCGGCGAUACGAGCACCAGGAGAUCCACUUUUGACUCUUUUGUAGCUGGUUGCAUUCCAGUAUUCUUUCAACCGGCAUCGGCUUACACUCAAUACUUAUGGCAUUUACCAAAAAAUCAUACCAAGUAUUCAGUGUUUAUUCCGGUGAGGAGUGCUGAAGAUUUGAAAGAAGGCGACAUUGAGAAAGUCUUGCUUGGAAUUUCAAAGGACAGGGAAUUGGCCAUGAGAGAGGAGGUUAUAAGGCUAAUACCAAAGCUGGUGUAUGCAGAUCCCAGGUCAAGAUUGAAGACUCAAGAUGCAUUUGAUUUAGCUGUGCAGGGAAUUCUUGAGAGAAUAGGAAAUGUUAGGAAGGAAGGUGAUUAGGGAGGGGAAGGAUCCUAGUAUUGGUUUUGCAGAUUCUGAUAAUGGUAAGUUCACAUUUCCCAAGACUAAUACCAAUAGACUUUAUUGAAUGCAAAUAGAUACUUCGUUCUGAGAGCAACCCAAGAUGGAAGAACUGGAUGGUGUGUAGUUAUGUAAAACAAAAAUAAAGAAAUUGUGUUGUUGUGUUUUUAAUUAUGAUUUUAAAAAGGGAGAUUGAUGUUCACUGAAGAAGCUUAUGUGCAAUUUACA